rnacentral:tRNA from 1 species
CCCUGGUGGCUCAGAGGUUAAAGCGUCUGCCUGAAAUGUGGGAGACCUGGGUUCGAUCCCUGGGUCAGGGA